UAAAAAAUGCAUUAUCCUAUACCUCCUCCUGAAAACUGCAAGGUUACUUGGGGAAGGCAUUGCCAGAAAUGAAGAAGAACAAGUCAGAUGAGAGUGAUGAAGGCUGAUGGUGGUCAAGGAGGUCAGAUGUGAAGAGAUUGCAGACAUGAGAUAGUCACUGUGGGCUGUGGAUGAGAACACUCUGGUUGUAACAAAGGAGAAAGGCAGGUUUCAAAAGGAUUUUCUGAUCCGCACCAACUGCAACACUCCUGGGAGUGAUCACAUUCUCCAUCAGGACAAUUGCAGCUUGUCCCAGAAAGUGAGAAUUAUAAGCAUAAAUCCAGUCACCCCUGUGGGAGAAAUAAGGGACCAAACUGACUGUCCUCAGGAGACCAGAGGAGUCCUGUUGAACUCACAAGGCAACUGGUAUCAGCACAAAGUCAGUGAGCAAUUUUUCAUAUUGUUGUCCAAGUGAAUCCUUUCCACUGCUUCUGAUCCAGCUUGGAAAAAAACAAAAAUCCCCAAACAAAACAAAAAACCCCAACCAACCAUCCAAAAAAACCACCAACCAAAAAACCCAAAAAGCCGCAACCCAACAACAUUAAAAUAGACUAUACCACAGUCUCUAGCCUGUCUGAGAAAGAACAAUCAGUGCUAAGGACUGCCUCACAGCACUCAUUACCUACACGUUAAUU